rnacentral:lncRNA from 1 species
UAGGGUAAGGUUUAAGGUUUUUGGCGUUAGGGUUAAAAUCCCUGUCCAAAACCUUUGUAGGAACUCUUUUCCAACCUUUUGGAGUUAGUUAGACCAAAAAAUAUGAAAAAAGAAAAAAAUUUUAUUGGGGGUUUUCGGGCUCCCUGAAAGUAAUACCCGUGUAUUAGGUUUUGGGACUAGGGAAAGGUUUAAGGUUUUUGGCGUUAGGGUUAAAAUCACUGUCCAAAACCUUUGUAGGAACUCUUUUCC